GGAGUCUCUGUCUGUAAACUUCUGGCAAAGCUUGGGGUGUCCUCUUAGACUAGGCCUGGCCUGUUCGUGCUUUGCAUCUGCAGAGGAGACAUGAAAGUAAAAAACAGAAAAGACGUCCCAGAUGGAUGCAUUUUUUGAGAGAAAGAUGGGGCUAAAAAUUCAUGAGUAUGAGAAUGACACAACUGAAAAUUACACAACUGGAGGGACAAGCAAAGGAAGUUCCAGUCUGAAGCUGUGCAGGCACAGGAGCUGAUCCCAAUGGAGCAACUUCCAGGAGUGGGAUGUGAAACUAAAGCUCCCAUGAAAGAAAAAACAAAUUAAAUUUCUCUGUUUUCUUUUCAAUCAGAAAUCUGCCUUAGUAACAGGAGGAUUUCCCUCGAAUUUUUAUCUGGAUUGAGUCUUGACCACAGGGAAAUCAUUAGAAAGCAGUAAUGGUGCUACUGAUUACAUUGUAACCAUCAUUAGCAUUAUUUUACUGCUAAUAACAAUUUUUGUGCUAACUUCCUGUGUGCCUAUAAUCCCUUUUCACACCGUUCAUAUGGCAAGAAUUGCAAAAUUAUACCAUGACACAAGUGUGGGUCUGAUGAAGCAUUGCCCCCAACACAACAGUGAUGGGUGUAAGGCACCUUUCAGCUCUCAACAGAAUGAAGCUUUGUUCAUGGACAAAAACAUACAGAUCCAUAAAUCAUCAAUAUGUUCCACACUGGGAAAUUAUACAUGAGACUUCUUAUCAAGAAUGAAUAUUUGAAAUAAUUAUUUAAGCACAUGAAAGCCUGGCAAACAGUUCAUGACUUUUUUGGGAAGUACUGCUAACUGAGGGCAACCUCUUUUCCCGCUAUUGCAGUAAUAGAGGGUUUAUUGUCAUCAUGUCUAGACAGUUGUUUCCUUGAAUGUUUUCAUCCAGUCAAACACAAAAAAUAUACAUACAUUUUCUUCCUGAAGCUAAUACUUAAUAUGUUUACUAAAUCCUCUUGGCAACACAAGUGAGAUGCAAUCUGAAAUCAAUAUUUUAGUGGUAAAGU